GAUGAACGCUGGCGGCGUGCUUAACACAUGCCAGUCGAACGGAAAGGCCCAAGCUUGCUUGGGUACUCGAGUGGCGAACGGGUGAGUAACACGUGGGUGAUCUGCCCUGCACUUCGGGAUAAGCCUGGGAAACUGGGUCUAAUACCGGAUAGGACGAUGGUUUGGAUGCCAUUGUGGAAAGUUUUUUCGGUGUGGGAUGAGCUCGCGGCCUAUCAGCUUGUUGGUGGGGUAAUGGCCUACCAAGGCGUCGACGGGUAGCCGGCCUGAGAGGGUGUACGGCCACAUUGGGACUGAGAUACGGCCCAGACUCCUACGGGAGGCAGCAGUGGGGAAUAUUGCACAAUGGGCGCAAGCCUGAUGCAGCGACGCCGCGUGGGGGAUGACGGCCUUCGGGUUGUAAACUCCUUUCGCUAGGGACGAAGCGUUUUGUGACGGUACCUGGAGAAGAAGCACCGGCUAACUACGUG
rnacentral:rRNA from 1 species